ACGCACAUUGCGCCCCUUGGUAUUCCAUGGGGCAUGCCUGUUCGAGCGUCAUUUGUACCUUCAAGCUCUGCUUGGUGUUGGGUGUUUGUCUCCUGUAGACUCGCCUCAAAACAAUUAGCAGCCGGUGUAUUGAUUCCUGAGCGCAGUACAUCUCGCGCUUUGCACUCAUAACGACGACAUCCAAAAGUACAUUUUCACACUCUCGACCUCGGAUCAGGUAGGGAUACCCGCUGAACUUA
rnacentral:misc_RNA from 1 species